rnacentral:rRNA from 1 species
GUGAGGAAUUUUCCGCAAUGGGCGAAAGCCUGACGGAGCAAUGCCGCGUGAAGGAUGAAGGCCUAUGGGUUGUAAACUUCUUUUCUCAGAAAAGAAUUAUGACGGUAUCUGAGGAAUAAGCAUCGGCUAACUCUGUGCCAGCAGCCGCGGUAAGACAGAGGAUGCAAGCGUUAUCCGGAAUGAUUGGGCGUAAAGCGUCUGUAGGUUGUUUAAAAAGUAUUCUGUCAAAGAUUAGGGCUUAACCCUAGAUAGGCAGAAUAAACUUUUAAGCUAGAGUUUGGUAGAGGCAGAGGGAAUUCCCGGUGGAGCGGUGAAAUGCGUAGAUAUCGGGAAGAACACCAAAGGCGAAGGCACUCUGCUGGGCCAAUACUAACACUGAGAGACGAAAGCGAGGGGAGCAAAUGGGAUUAGAUACCCGUGUAGUCC